rnacentral:SRP_RNA from 1 species
GUCGGGCACGGUGGUGCGCGCCUGUAGUCCCAGCAACUUGGGAGGCUGAGGUGGGAGGAUCGCUUGAGUCCAGGAGUUCUGGGCUGCAGUGCGCUAUGCCGAUGUGUCCACACUAAGUUCAGCAUCAAUAUGGUGACCUUGACCUCCCGGGAGCGGGGGACCACCAGGUUGCCUAAGGAGGGGUGAACCGGCCCAGGUUGGAAAUGGAGCAGGUCAAAACUCCCGUGCUGAUCAUAAACUUCCCAAGUGAAAACAACCCAAAUAUCCAUCAACAGAAUGAAUGAACAAACUGUAGUAUAUCCAU